UCGAGAAUCUUUCACAAUGGGGGAAACCCUGAUGGAGCGACGCCGCGUGGAGGAUAAGGUCUUCGGAUUGUAAACUCCUGUCAUGCGAGAACAAAGCCUCACGGCCUGAUAGUAUCGCAAGAGGAAGAGACGGCUAACUCUGUGCCAGCAGCCGCGGUAAUACAGAGGUCUCAAGCGUUGUUCGGAAUCACUGGGCGUAAAGGGUGCGUAGGCGGCGCGGAAAGUCAGAUGUGAAAUCCGGAGGCUCAACCUCCGAAUUGCAUCCGAUACUUCCGCGCUAGAGGGUUGUAGGGGAGCUUGGAAUUCUCGGUGUAGCAGUGAAAUGCGUAGAUAUCGAGAAGAACGCUCGCAGCGAAGGCGAAGCUCUGGGCAACAUCUGACGCUGAUGCACGAAGGCUAGGGGAGCAAACGGGAUUAGAUACCCCGGUAGUCC
rnacentral:rRNA from 1 species